rnacentral:lncRNA from 1 species
AUUCAGGAAGCCAUCCUGAAACCCCUGCUUUGUCUCCUGACAAACAGAUGGGGUGAGGUCACAAGGAAGUGACCCCUGAGCUGCGAGUGGACCCUGAGCUUAGGGCACAGAGGCAGAGGAAGAGCAGGAAGCAGGUGCCCCCAGGGUGGGAAGAGUGGAAGAAGGACUGGCGCUCUUCUGCUGAGUGGGCCAGGAAGUGACCCGGUGGUGGGAAGUGGCUGAAGGUGGUGUGUUCCGGGGUCAGACUGAGUGCAGGGUCGGAAGUGAGCCUAGUAAACAAAACUGAGCUGAUGGAUCGCUCAGGACAAUGUGUGCAGUGGAAGUUUCUAGAAACCCGAAGCUGGCAUGGAGAAACAAUAGACAGGCAGAGACCAGGGACCUAAGUGUGUGUCAUUCAGAAGACUCUCUGGCAAGUGACUUUUGAAGGCUGCGAGGAUCCCAUCAACCUGAUUGUGUCAUAUGGCUUGGCCUCUCCAUCCCAGGAAGGGAAGCCCAGGAUGGAAGACACGCAUGGAUCGCAGGAAGGAACAGGACGGCGGGAACUGGACCAG